GACGAACGCUGGCGGCGUGCUUAACACAUGCAAGUCGAACGGUAAGGCCCUUCGGGGUACACGAGUGGCGAACGGGUGAGUAACACGUGGGUGAUCUGCCCUGCACUUCGGGAUAAGCCUGGGAAACUGGGUCUAAUACCGGAUAGGACCACUGCCUGCAUGGGUGGUGGUGGAAAGCUUUUGCGGUGUGGGAUGGGCCCGCGGCCUAUCAGCUUGUUGGUGGGGUGAUGGCCUACCAAGGCGACGACGGGUAGCCGGCCGGGGAGGGUGACCGGCCACGCUGGGACUGAGCUACGGCCCAGACUCCUACGGGAGGCAGCAGUGGGGAAUAUUGCAGAAUGGGCGCAAGCCUGAUGCAGCAACGCCGCGUGAGGGAUGACGGCCUUCGGGUUGUAAACCUCUUUUAGUAGGGAAGAAGCGAAAGUGACGGUACCUGCAGAAAAAGCACCGGCUAACUACGUGCCAGCCGCCGCAGUAA
rnacentral:rRNA from 1 species